GACGAACGCUGGCGGCGCGCCUAACACAUGCAAGUCGAACGAGCGAGAGAGAGCUUGCUUUCUCGAGCGAGUGGCGAACGGGUGAGUAACGCGUGAGGAACCUGCCUCAAAGAGGGGGACAACAGUUGGAAACGACUGCUAAUACCGCAUAAGCCCACGGUGCCGCAUGGCACAGAGGGAAAAGGAGCAAUCCGCUUUGAGAUGGCCUCGCGUCCGAUUAGCUAGUUGGUGAGGUAAUGGCCCACCAAGGCGACGAUCGGUAGCCGGACUGAGAGGUUGAACGGCCACAUUGGGACUGAGACACGGCCCAGACUCCUACGGGAGGCAGCAGUGGGGAAUAUUGCACAAUGGGGGAAACCCUGAUGCAGCGACGCCGCGUGGAGGAAGAAGGUCUUCGGGUUGUAAACUCCUGUUGUUGGGGAAGAUAAUGACGGUACCCAACAAGGAAGUGACGGCUAACUACGUG
rnacentral:rRNA from 1 species